UACGGAGGGAGCUAGCGUUGUUCGGAAUUACUGGGCGUAAAGCGCACGUAGGCGGCUCAGCAAGUCAGGGGUGAAAUCCCGGGGCUCAACCCCGGAACUGCCCUUGAAACUGCUAAGCUAGAAUCCUGGAGAGGCGAGUGGAAUUCCGAGUGUAGAGGUGAAAUUCGUAGAUAUUCGGAAGAACACCAGUGGCGAAGGCGACUCGCUGGACAGGUAUUGACGCUGAGGUGCGAAAGCGUGGGGAGCAAACGGG
rnacentral:rRNA from 1 species